AUUGAACGCUGGCGGCAUGCUUUACACAUGCAAGUCGGACGAGUGGCGGACGGGUGAGUAAUGUAUCGGAACGUACCGAGUAAUGGGGGAUAACUAUUGGAAACGACAGCUAAUACCGCAUACUAUUCGAUGUGCCCAUGUCUGAUUAGCUGGUUGGCGGGGUAAAGGCCCACCAAGGCGACGAUCAGUAGCGGGUCUGAGAGGAUGAUCAGCCACACUGGAACUGAGACACGGCCCAGACUCCUACGGGAGGCAGCAGUGGGGAAUUUUGGACAAUGGGCGCAAGCCUGAUCCAGCCAUGCCGCGUGUCUGAAGAAGGCCUUCGGGUUGUAAAGUACUUUUGGCAGGGAAGCGGUACCUGAAGAAUAAGCACCGGCUAACUACGUGCCAGCCGCCGCGGUAAUUC
rnacentral:rRNA from 1 species